UUAAAUAUUAUAUAUUUUCUCAGACAUAUUAAUUACAAGAAUGGUUAUGACUUUGGCAAACACAUGGAGCAUAUGUUCACCAAAGCAACAGGGUAUAAUAUUCAGGACGGGAGAUAUACCCAGAAGGGCCAUUUCUCUCUAAUGAUCCUUCCGCAGGUUCACCUACGGAAA
rnacentral:misc_RNA from 1 species